CCAGGACUAAGACAUUCCACAAUUAUCAACUAUUCCCUCCCCCCAACCUGAAAAAGACAUUGUCCUCAAUGUUUUAAAAGGAAAGAGAAAGAGUGUAGAAGACAUCACAUGAACACUACAACAGAAAAUAUUUACAAACGGAGAGUUAAAUCUAAAUCGCACUUCUUAUUACUGCUACUGUUACCGUUACCAUCAUUAGUCGACCAAUUCAGUGCAACAGUCUGUGGAUCUGGCUCUGGUGUAUAAGCUUGUAAAAGAUCAAGUAACUCAUUAGCAGUAGAAGCAGAGAUAAAGAGUUUUUUUACAGAAUGUGGAACAAAAUGAUUCUUUAUUGCAUGGUUAAUAAAAGUUAGCAAGCCGUCAUAAAAAUUAUUAACAUUUACUGCUGUACCGUACAUCCGCCUUGGCCGUACAGCAGUCCUCCAACUUGCUUCACCAACCAUUGCCACGUGGCACAAUCAUGGCCAUUGAAUCAUGAACGGUUGAGAUUUAGUCAAGAUUGCCAGUUAUCCCAUGCACUCAUAUCUAUUGUAAGCUCAUUUCAUCAUCCAAUCAGUGCUCGGUCAACAGGAAAAGUCAACUUUUUUUACACAAGCCCAAUUUUAAGCCGAUCUUGAUUGAUCUUAAGGUUUUCAGACCUCCGAAAUUCAAAUUUGACCUCCGUUUAUCUGUUUGGGGCCUCGAAGUACGUGAAAUUAAUAAUUUUCCUAAUAAACACAUAAAAAUACACAAAAUUAAAUAUAUUUAAAACAUAAUUAAUAAUUCAUAAUAUAUUACAUAAACACAAAUAUAAAUUAUAACAUAAGCAUAAAAUAACAUAUUGUCGCUUGAUAAUUAAACAAUUUUUAAUACUAAUCACACCCCCCAACCAGCUUAUUGCUAGCCCUCUAGCAAUUAAAGCGUUAUAUUAAAUUAAGAUUUAUAAAAUUCACAUGCAAGUUAAUAGUUGUUCAUCUAUCCUCUAAAUUACCAAACAAAUGAACUCUCCCAAAUUCCUUUACCACAUUGAUGUUCACUCAUUAUCUAGAAUAUCAUCAAACCUUCUUUUGUGCUCAAUUAAUUAACACAAUACUUAUGGGGCUUUAUUAAAAGAAAAACAACAUUUUCGUUCUAAAAUUCAUUAGAAAUUAUAUCUUUAGGCAAUAGAUUAUUCACACAUAUAUAUUUUUUUUAUAUAUUACAUUUCUAACCCGUGUAGCGAGCUUUAGGUCAGUGACUCCCAGACCAGUUGGCCUUAGGGCACUAGGUGUUGAAGCACCCCUACGGACUUAAUUACUCGGGUUUCUAAUAAACAAACAAUAUAUCUAUUACCCAUGUAGCGAGCUUUAGGCCAGUGACUCCCAGACCAGUUGACCUUAGGGCACUAGGUGUUGAAACACCCAUACGGACUUAAUUACUCGGGUUUCUAAUAAACAAACAAUAUAUCUAUUACCCAUGUAGCGAGCUUUAGGCCAGUGACUCCUAGACCAGUUGACCUUAGAUAUUUAAAAUAUACAUCAAUUAUCCCCACCCCACAACCUAAUCUAAACAUUAUCCUAACAUUUUAUAAUUUACAGAUAUGCAAAAAGAAAAAGAAAAAAUAAAAGAAGAAGAAGAGGAGAUCUCACCUGAACUUGAUGCAGAAGCUUAAAAGCAAAUAACAAAGAUGAAGAAAGAGUCAAUUUUUUUUUUUAACAACACCCUUAAGAUUAAGAAGAUGUGUUUCUAGAGAGACUACAUUCUUUAUAUUCUGCCAUCUUCGACUCAAAUUUGUCCUAAGUUAGUCUUUACAGAAAAAAAAAAAUUUUGUUAUUGUUUUUUUUUUUUUUAAACACAUAACCAGGACUAAGACAUUCCACAAUUAUCAACUAUUCCCUCCCCCCAACCUGAAAAAGACAUUGUCCUCAAUGUUUUAAAAGGAAAGAGAAAGAGUGUAGAAGACAUCACAUGAACACUACAACAGAAAAUAUUUACAAACGGAGAGUUAAAUCUAAAUCGCACUUCUUAUUACUGCUACUGUUACCGUUACCAUCAUUAGUCGACCAAUUCAGUGCAACAGUCUGUGGAUCUGGCUCUGGU
rnacentral:lncRNA from 1 species